rnacentral:lncRNA from 1 species
CACUGCUGUGGAGGGAUUUUGCCGAUGUAAUUAAGGGAAAGGAUCUUCAAAUAGGGAGACUAGCCUGGAUUAUACAGGUGGGUCCAAUCUAAUCACUUGAGCAUUGAGAAGCCGAGAAUUAUCUUCAGCUGGAUUCAAAGAGAUGUGGUGGAGGAGGACAGCAGGAUGAGGAGGCCAAAGGGGUAGUUAAAGAGAUGUGAAUCAAGAGAAGGGCUGGACCUCCCCCGAUAGCUUUGAAUGUGAAGGGAGGGGGCCUUCAGAAGCUGAGAAAGACUCCAGCUGACAACCCAAAAGGAAUUGGGGCUUCAGUUCUGCAACCACAUGGAACUGAAUUCAACCAACAACUUGAACGACUUUGGAAGCAGUCGUUUUUCCUAGAGUCUACUGCUAAGAACCCAGUGGCAACACCUUGAUUUCAGGCUUGUGAGACCUGGAGCAAUGAAGCCCACUGGACUGGUGAUCUACAGAAAAAGAAGAGAAGAACCCAUUUAAAGAGAAGAACCCAUUUAAAGAGAAGAAGGAAAAGUGUGUAUCAGGCAGAGACAACAGUCUGUGCAAAGGUUGGAAGUAGGAAAAAUCUCAAUGUGCCCUGAGAGCUGAAAGGAGCUCGCUGUGGUUGGGAACGCUGGUAUGGAGAGGCACCAGAAAGAUUGCUCUGGCUGCGGUGUCUCCACACUGUUGGGGAUCAAAACAAGAGGAAGACCAGUUAGGAGUCUAUCGCAGGAAUCCAGGGAACCACGAAAGUGAAGCUGUGAAAACCCUGAAUGCUGAAGAGUGUGGAGAAUCCCAGACGAUGAAGAACCAGAGAAUCUCGAAGCUCUGUCUACCUACACCUCUGACUCAUGUAUGUGCAGAACAGACUCAGAUUAAAAACACAACGUUGAGGUGAGCCUGGAACUGUUGCCCAAGGAACAGGGUUUGAAGUUCAGGUCUAGCUAGACUAAUUAGCUGUUGAAGGAAACAACACUCACUGGAGAAAACUGGCAGAAUUCUGAAUCUUCACCAAUUAACAUUAGUAACGUUGAAGAUAUGAUCGAAAA